GACGAACGCUGGCGGCGUGCUUAACACAUGCAAGUCGAACGGAAAGGCCCUGCUUUUGUGGGGUGCUCGAGUGGCGAACGGGUGAGUAACACGUGAGUAACCUGCCCUUGACUUUGGGAUAACUUCAGGAAACUGGGGCUAAUACCGGAUAGGAGCUCCUGCUGCCUGGUGGGGGUUGGAAGGUUUCGGCGGUUGGGGAUGGACUCGCGGCUUAUCAGCUUGUUGGUGGGGUAGUGGCUUACCAAGGCUUUGACGGGUAGCCGGCCUGAGAGGGUGACCGGCCACAUUGGGACUGAGAUACGGCCCAGACUCCUACGGGAGGCAGCAGUGGGGAAUAUUGCACAAUGGGCGGAAGCCUGAUGCAGCAACGCCGCGUGCGGGAUGACGGCCUUCGGGUUGUAAACCGCUUUCGCCUGUGACGAAGCGUGAGUGACGGUAAUGGGUAAAGAAGCACCGGCUAACUACGUG
rnacentral:rRNA from 1 species